GCGUGCCCUGGCGUGGUGCCGGUUGUACCGGCCCCAACAGCAUUCCUCCCGGGUUCUUUGUACGGUGUCAGCAGCGUGAUGGGACGUGCGAUGCAUGGAUACCCACCGUCACCCAAAAGGAUGUAUCCUCCAGCCGUCAAUGCUCCCCACAACCUUUUGCACGGCAGCAGACCCUGCGAGCUGCUCAAAACCAGUGGCGACUAACGGUAGUUCAUCCACGCUGGGGAGCCGGAUGACCCUGCGCAUCAGCUGGAGGAUGUGGUCUGCCGUUCUGUGGACAAUGUCACUCGCAGUGGACCGUAGUAUGUCAAAGGCUCUGGCCACCACGCAGUAAGAAGUGCCACACUCCAGCCAGAAAAGGAACACCAGAACCUCAAUGUGCCCAUCCCAGAGCAUGAGGAACCUGAAGCUGCUCCACCAGACGUCUUAUGGUCCUGCGGGUCAACAGAAAAUCUGGUCUUGUGUCAGACUGACCGUCAGCGUAGAGGGCCAGGAGAGGCACCUUUGUGUUGGCAUAGCAGUAUAGCUGUGGAAGACCCUGUUAAAUGUAACAUUAAUCAUUUAAUUUAUAAAAUAAAGUUAUCUGUGGAAUGUUUUGGUUCA